CCCUUAGAUGUCCGGGGCCGCACGCGCGCUACACUGAAGGAAUCAGCGUGGCUUUCUCCCUGACCCGAAAGGGUUGGGAAACCCGUUGAAUCUCCUUCGUGAUAGGGAUUGGGGCUUGAAAUUGUUCCCCAUGAACGAGGAAUUCCCAGUAAGCGCGAGUCGUAAGCUCGCGUUGAUUACGUCCCUGCCCUUUGUACACACCGCCCGUCGCUCCUACCGAUUGAAUGUUCCGGUGAGCUCUUCGGACUGCGCGGUCUGCAGUUUCUGCGUUCCGUGCGGAAAGUUGCGCAAACCUUAACAUUUAGAGGAAGGAGAAGUCGUAACA
rnacentral:rRNA from 1 species